GAUCCUACGGGACGCAGCAGUGAGGAAUAUUGGUCAAUGGCCGAGAGGCUGAACCAGCCAAGUCGCGUGAGGGAAGACGGCCCUACGGGUUGUAAACCUCUUUUGUCGGGGAGCAAAGAGAGUCACGUGUGACUCAUUGAGAGUACCCGAAGAAAAAGCAUCGGCUAACUCCGUGCCAGCAGCCGCGGUAAUACGGAGGAUGCGAGCGUUAUCCGGAUUUAUUGGGUUUAAAGGGUGCGUAGGCGGGCUUUUAAGUCAGCGGGAAAAAUUCGGGGCUCAACCCCGUCCGGCCGUUGAAACUGGGG
rnacentral:rRNA from 1 species